ACCAGGCUGGCUCAGUCAGUAGAGCAUGUGACCCUUGACCUCAGAGUUGUGAGUUUGAAUCUCAUGUUGGGUG
rnacentral:tRNA from 1 species